rnacentral:rRNA from 1 species
GGUGAGUAACGCGUCAGAACGUGCCUUCCGGUUCGGAAUAACCCUGGGAAACUAGGGCCAAUACCGGAUACGCCCUUAUGGGGAAAGGGAAACUGCCGAAGGAUCGGCCCGCGUCUGAUUAGCUAGUUGGUGGGGUAACGGCCUACCAAGGCGACGAUCAGUAGCUGGUCUGAGAGGAUGAUCAGCCACACUGGGACUGAGACACGGCCCAGACUCCUACGGGAGGCAGCAGUGGGGAAUAUUGGACAAUGGGCGCAAGCCUGAUCCAGCCAUGCCGCGUGAGUGAUGAAGGCCUUAGGGUUGUAAAGCUCUUUUAUCCGGGACGAUAAUGACGGUACCGGAGGAAUAAGCCCCGGCUAACUUCGUGCCAGCAGCCGCGGUAAU